UACGAAGGGUGCAAGCGUUAAUCGGAAUUACUGGGCGUAAAGCGCGCGUAGGUGGUUCGUUAAGUUGGAUGUGAAAGCCCCGGGCUCAACCUGGGAACUGCAUCCAAAACUGGCGAGCUAGAGUACGGUAGAGGGUGGUGGAAUUUCCUGUGUAGCGGUGAAAUGCGUAGAUAUAGGAAGGAACACCAGUGGCGAAGGCGACCACCUGGACUGAUACUGACACUGAGAUGCGAAGGCGUGGGGGUCAAACAGGGUUUGAUGGCCGCGUAGUCC
rnacentral:rRNA from 1 species